UUUGAGUCAGAGACUCAGACAUAUUCACAUUUCACUCAACAAACACUCACCUCACUCUCUACACUCACCUAACCUCACCUCACCUCUCUUGCUAAACCUCUCUGCUCAUCCUCAUCUCCUCUCACCUCCCUGCUGAAACGCACCGUCGAUUAGAAAAAAUCGGGGAACCUCUCCCCUCAUACUCACCUCUCAAUCGAAUAAAGUUUUGUUUCAGGUCUUCAAUUAGGGAUUUUAUUGAGAGGGCUUCGAUUGAAUUGGGAAUUGGGGCUUCUGAAACUAGGGCUUCAACAGCUUUUCACUUUAAUUGGGGUUUCGAUCUGCUUAGAUUUGUGGUCAUCCUUUGCUUUUCACUUUAAAUACACAUGCUUUGUUUUAGAUUUUAUGUGUAAAUGCAUUGUCUAUCUUUGUUUUGAUUUGUGGUCGUAUGUUAUGUUACACAUCUCUCUGUCUCCCUCUCUCUCCUUCUCUCUCUGUGUGUGUCUCUGUCUCCCCUCUGUCUCUCCCUCCCUCUCUCUUAACUCUAAUGGGAACAUUCUGAUUUUAUAGUUUGUCUUGAAUGUUGUAAUUUUUUAUAGGCAUUUGACUUGUUGAGUUGAUUUGUUCAGGAAUCAGUAUAAUGUUGCACGUAGUUUUUCUAGAAAGCACUGGUUCUUUUUUUGUUGUAUAUAUCUGCCAUAUGAUUUGAACUCUCUGUUUACAGAGCCGGCAUCGUUCUUCCCCUGAUGUUGUAAACUUGUAUUGUAUUAUUGUUCUUCCCCUGACUUGAUAAUUAUUAGUAGUAAAGAUUUACUAUGUAAGAAGUUGUUUUCUGGCUAAAUAUGAUGUUAAUAAUUAAGCUUUUGAGACCCUAGUGAAGCUAAAGCCAGGAAGGAGUCAGAUUAGUUUGCCUACUGCUCUCGUGGGGUUGAGCAAAAUAUACAAAUUUUUUUUUGAUGCUGCGGUCCAUGCUGUUAAUGAAGAUUAUGUGGAAAUGGCUCAAGGAUUUCACUAGGCUUGGGUUUCUUGCUAGUGGAACAGAUGACUCCUAUCGUCACAGCUUUGGAAUCACAUAUCCUGCACUUCAUUUACGUAUGGAGAAGGGUGUAUUUUAGAGAAAAGGCUAGAGAGCACAGGCUAAUUGUUGUUACUUUUAGUUGGUUUUGAAUUGUUAGGUAAUUUGAUUUGGUUGGAUUUGUUAUGAAAUUUGUAAGAAAGAAUAGUUUAUUGGAA